rnacentral:rRNA from 1 species
CCUACGGGAGGCAGCAGUGAGGAAUAUUGGUCAAUGGCCGCAGGGCUGAACCAGCCAAGUCGCGUGAGGGAUGACGGUCCUAUGGAUUGUAAACCUCUUUUGUCAGGGAGCAAAGGGCGCCACGUGUGGCUCUUUGCGAGUACCUGAAGAAAAAGCAUCGGCUAACUCCGUGCCAGCAGCCGCGGUAAUACGGAGGAUGCGAGCGUUAUCCGGAUUUAUUGGGUUUAAAGGGUGCGCAGGCGGAAUGUCAAGUCAGCGGUAAAAUUUCGGGGCUCAACCCCGUCGUGCCGUUGAAACUGGCGUGCUGGAGUGAGCGAGAAGUAUGCGGAAUGCGUGGUGUAGCGGUGAAAUGCAUAGAUAUCACGCAGAACUCCGAUUGCGAAGGCAGCAUACCGGCGCUCAACUGACGCUCAUGCACGAAAGCGUGGGUAUCGAACAGGAUUAGAUACCCCGGUAGUC